CGGGUGCACUGAUCCGGCCGGGCCUUUCCCUCUGUGGAACCCCAUGGCCUUCACUGGCUGUGCGGGGGAAACAGGACUUUUACUGUGAAAAAAUUAGAGUGCUCCAGGCAGGCCUAUGCUCGAAUACAUUAGCAUGGAAUAAUAGAAUAGGACGCGUGGUUCUAUUUUGUUGGUUUCUAGGACCGCCGUAAUGAUUAAUAGGGACAGUCGGGGGGCAUCAGUAUUCAAUUGUCAGAGGUGAAAUUCUUGGAUCUAUUGAAGACUAACUACUGCGAAAGCAUUUGCCAAGGAUGUUUUCAUUGAUAAGGAACGAAAGUUAGGGGAUCGAAGACGAUCAGAACCGUCGUAGUCUUAACCUAUAAACUAUGCCGACUAGGGAUCGGACGAUGUUAUUUUCUUGACGCGUUCGGCACCUUUCGAGAAAUCAAAGUGCUUGGGCUCCAGGGGGAGUAUGGUCGCAAGGCUGAAACUUAAAGAAAUUGACGGAAGGGCACCACCAGGGGUGGAACCUGCGGCUUAAUUUGACUCAACACGGGGAAACUCACCAGGUCCAGACACAGUGAGGAUUGACAGAUUGAGAGCUCUUUCUUGAUUCUGUGGGUGGUGGUGCAUGGCCGUUCUUAGUUGGUGGAGUGAUUUGUCUGCUUAAUUGCGAUAACGAACGAGACCUUAACCUGCUAAAUAGCCCGUACUGCUCUGGCAGUUCGCCGGCUUCUUAGAGGGACUAUCGG
rnacentral:rRNA from 1 species